rnacentral:misc_RNA from 1 species
AACAUCGCGCACCUGCGGGAACCUGCGGAAGGAUCAUUACCGAGUUAGGGUCUUCCUGGCCCGACCUCCAACCCUUUGUUUACUAUACCCAUGUUGCUUUGGCGGGCCUGCCUUUCGGGGCUGCCGGGGGCAUCACUGCCCUUGACCUGUGCCUGCCAGGAGCCUUCUUUAAAUUUUGUGUUCAACUGUGUUGUCUGAGUCCCAAUAUCAAAAUAUAAAAAACUUUUAACAACGGAUCUC